rnacentral:lncRNA from 1 species
GUGAUUUACAAUUAUAUUUUGUUUCUAUUUUAAACAAUCUUGCAUGAAAAGUAAAAGGUAUAUAUGAUUUUAAUUAUUAUAUACUAUUCUCUUCCCAAACUUCUUACAUUUGUGAUAUAAAGAAUUCCUCUAAUUAUUUUUGCUUGACAUAGAUAGUCCUUUAGAUUAGAGUAGCUUUUUCUUACUUUAUGUCUUUCUAUGAUUCCUUAAGAGGAAGUGAUACCUGCAGAGCACUUUUAAAGAUAUUUUUUAGGCUAAUGGUCAAGAUAACACAUUGAAAAGAAAGCUAUAAUUAUGUCCAAUGAGGGCUCUUUUGGUUGCUAGAGAUGAGGAAAGUGUAUACUGAUUUUAAUUUGUACUUAAAAUACAUUUUACUAAUUAACUAUUGAUUUUUAAAUAUGACGGAUUCUUCUUGUAGAUAUUAAUCUUCCUUACUGUAUUUUCCUAGAGAAACCUAAAUGAGGAUGUGUUCCAGCUAGUCUCUGUAUAUUGGCAUAUGUGCUCUAUGUAUAUUGACAUAAUUGAAACUGCAUUAAGUACACCACAUUAGAAACUUUUUGAACAUUUUUAGGUUUAUUGUAUUAAAUUUUAUGAUAACAUACAAGGUUUUGACUCAAGCUUUGUAUGCAAGAAGAGGUGGACAUUUUUUCUCUCUUUGUCAUUUUAUUAACUUAUAUUUCUCUGUAUCCUAGGAAAAUUUUACAUUCAAGAAAUGUUCCAAAAAGUGAUGAUCUUAGGGCACUUGGGUGCUUUUGUAUUUGAUCAUUGCUGAUAUGUUCGUUACAUAGGGAAAUAAUGCUUCUGGACCUUCCUGACAAGACCACUUUGUGGGUGACUGGGGGAUACUUAUGUCGGUGCUCAUGUUGGACGUCAUGGCAGAUGAUGUAGGGACUUCUCCAUUGGUAAAAUAGUUCAGUCAGCUUUUUUGCAGAUGUGUGACUUCAUUAUACUUGUAACAUCAUUCUUGUGUCCAUAACUGACUGAAAUGUCAAGCUCCGGAAAUGUAAGGCACUGGGUCAGGUGACCAAUUGUAGGAAUUUGUUUAUAAUGAAAUAAAGAAAUAAUGUUAAGGUAUGUUUGAGGGGAAAUAACAAAUACGAUUUUACUGGUGAAUUUCCAUGUUUAAUAUGUAUAUUAACUUUUUUUUUUUAAGUUGCAUGUAAACCUGGUAUAAAGUAUUGUCUCUGCUUUAUGCUUUGAGUAAAAAGAAAAAAAAGAUGAGUUAAACUGUUACCCUAUUAUGUACUAUUACAAAUACCUUUUCUUUUAGAAAAGGUUAAUUAUAAAUUACUAUUCACAUGUU